UCUCCGUAGGUGAACCUGCGGAGGGAUCAUUACACAAUAUGAAAGCAGGCUGGGUUCCCCAGAAGCCGGGUGUCUUGUCCCCGCUGCUUCCGCCACAUCUGUGGUGCUGAAGCGGCGUGGGGUGGGCGUCUUUCUUUGGCCAGCCUGACUACAUAUUCACCCAUGUCUUUUGCGUACUACUUGUUUCCUUGGUGGGCUCGCCCACCGAUAGGACAAAAUUUAAACCUUUUUGUAAUUGUAAUCAGCGUCAGCAAAACAAUGUAAUAAAUUACAACUUUCAACAACGGAUCUCUUGGUUCUGGCAUCGAUGAAGAACGCAGCGAAAUGCGAUAAGUAGUGUGAAUUGCAGAAUUCAGUGAAUCAUCGAAUCUUUGAACGCACAUUGCGCCCUUUGGUAUUCCAAAGGGCAUGCCUGUUCGAGCGUCAUUUGUACCCUCAAGCUUUGCUUGGUGUUGGGCUGUUGUCUCUGGUUUACCAGAGACUCGCCUUAAAAUCAUUGGCAGCCGGCCUACUGGUUUCGGAGCGCAGCACAAUUUUGCGCCUCUUCCAGCAGUGGUCUGCGUCCAUAAGCCAUUUUUUCAACCUUUGACCUCGGAUCAGGUAGGGAUACCCGCUGAACUUAAGCAUAUCAA
rnacentral:rRNA from 1 species